GACUUUAUAAACUUGUACUCUAAUUAAUGUCAAACUGGGGCCCUUUGUUUUUCUUUAGGUUUUAGGGUGAAAUCAGAAACCUUUUUUUUGAAGGCCCUAGUUUUUAAAAUUUAAGGAGCAAGCCAGAUUAGUACCUGGUUAGAUAAAAGUUAAAAGAGCAGGAGUAAAGUUGUAUUUAAACUGUAAGAAUAUUGGCAGGUUUUUAAAUUAUCUUUGGAGGUUGAGUAGUAAUUGAGAGCCCUCAUUAACAACUUUUGCUAUUGUCGCAUGUAUGAUCGUUUGUUUUAUUCUUAGGGGUUGUAAUUUUAGUUUAUUUGUUGCUAUAAAAAUAGAUAAAUAUCUGGUCUAUGCAAAAGAUUUAAUUUGACCUACAAUAUUAAAUAAUGUGGAUUCACUUUGUAGCAAAGUGAUUGAAAAUGUAAAAGACAGUAAGUUACUUUUAAUGGGUGACUGAAGUUUAUUUAAAAAC
rnacentral:rRNA from 1 species